rfam:Sphaerulina musiva SO2202 unplaced genomic scaffold SEPMTscaffold_7, whole genome shotgun sequence.
GCGCCGCUCGGCCUGACACAACAUUCUGCAGAAAUGUUGUCGUCUGACCCGCAGUGUCGGCCGAGCAACGC